rnacentral:rRNA from 1 species
AAAUUGAAGAGUUUGAUCAUGGCUCAGAUUGAACGCUGGCGGCAGGCCUAACACAUGCAAGUCGAACGGUAGCACAGAGAGCUUGCUCUCGGGUGACGAGUGGCGGACGGGUGAGUAAUGUCUGGGAAACUGCCUGAUGGAGGGGGAUAACUACUGGAAACGGUGGCUAAUACCGCAUAAUGUCGCAAGACCAAAGAGGGGGACCUUCGGGCCUCUUG